rnacentral:rRNA from 1 species
GAUGAACGCUAGCGGGAGGCUUAACACAUGCAAGUCGUGGGGCAGCAUAGGGUCGCAAUACUCUGAUGGCGACCGGCGCACGGGUGAGUAACGCGUAUGCAACCUGCCCCGUAUAGGGGGAUAGCCCGGAGAAAUUCGGAUUAAUACCCCAUAAUGAUAUUGAGAGGCAUCUUUUAAUAUUUAAAGCUUCGGCGGUACAGGAUGGGCAUGCGUGACAUUCGCUAGUUGGUAGGGUAACGGCCUAACAAGGCUGCGAUGUCUAGGGGUCCUGCGAGGGUGAUCCCCCACACUGGUACUAAGACACGGACCAGACUCCUACGGGAGGCAGCAGUGAGGAAGAUUGGUCAAUGGGCGUAAGCCUGAACCAGCCAUCCCGCGUGAAGGAAGAAGGCGCUAUGCGUUGUAAACUUCUUUUCCAGGGGAAGAAAUCCUCCGAUGAAUCGGGGCUUGCCGGUACCCUGGGAAUAAGCAUCGGCUAACUCCGUGCCAGCAGCCGCAGUAACAC